UUUCUUUGUUGAAAUCAAAAGAAGAUCAUCCUCAUCCGGAAGAAAUUCAAAAGCAUCAAGAAGUUCGGGAAUGAAGAUUUCAUAUGGAAGCUUAGUUUAGUUUACCAUUGUACCUCUGCGUGAGACUGAUAUUUAUUUCCCUCUCCUCUAUUAUGUAUCCCCAUUUGUUUUAUUCAUAAGGUUUGUAUAAAUAUUUUGGGGCAAUAGAACGUUUUACAAACGA
rnacentral:lncRNA from 1 species